rnacentral:rRNA from 1 species
GACAGAGGGUGCAAACGUUGUUCGGAAUUACUGGGCGUAAAGCGUGUGUAGGCGGCUACAUAUGUCGGAUGUGAAAGCCCUUGGCUCAACUGAGGAAGUGCAUCCGAAACUGGCAGGCUAGAGUACGUAAGAGGGUCGCGGAAUUCCCGGUGUAGAGGUGAAAUUCGUAGAUAUCGGGAGGAACACCGGUGGCGAAGGCGGCGACCUGGGACGAUACUGACGCUGAGGUGCGAAAGCGUGGGGAGCAAACAGG